UAAAAUUGUGGCUGACAAGAGCCUUCUUUGAUUCUUUCAACAGACAUGAAGGCACAGAUGUUUCAGGACACCCUUGGACACACAGCCAUGGCCUCUGCUGCAACCCCGGACCCUGACCAGUGGCCAUGCUCCAUGCAAAGAGCCCUGAGAGAAGGCCCAAAUCAGAAUUGGUCCAGACAUGAAGGCACAGAUGUUUCAGGACACCCUUGGACACACAGCCAUGGCCUCUGCUGCAACCCCGGACCCUGACCAGUGGCCAUGCUCCAUGCAAAGAGCCCUGAGAGAAGGCCCAAAUCAGAAUUGGUCCAGACAUGAAGGCACAGAUGUUUCAGGACACCCUUGGACACACAGCCAUGGCCUCUGCUGCAACCCCGGACCCUGACCAGUGGCCAUGCUCCAUGCAAAGAGCCCUGAGAGAAGGCCCAAAUCAGAAUUGGUCCAGACAUGAAGGCACAGAUGUUUCAGGACACCCUUGGACACACAGCCAUGGCCUCUGCUGCAACCCCGGACCCUGACCAGUGGCCAUGCUCCAUGCAAAGAGCCCUGAGAGAAGGCCCAAAUCAGAAUUGGUCCAGACAUGAAGGCACAGAUGUUUCAGGACACCCUUGGACACACAGCCAUGGCCUCUGCUGCAACCCCGGACCCUGACCAGUGGCCAUGCUCCAUGCAAAGAGCCCUGAGAGAAGGCCCAAAUCAGAAUUGGUCCAGACAUGAAGGCACAGAUGUUUCAGGACACCCUUGGACACACAGCCAUGGCCUCUGCUGCAACCCCGGACCCUGACCAGUGGCCAUGCUCCAUGCAAAGAGCCCUGAGAGAAGGCCCAAAUCAGAAUUGGUCCAGACAUGAAGGCACAGAUGUUUCAGGACACCCUUGGACACACAGCCAUGGCCUCUGCUGCAACCCCGGACCCUGACCAGUGGCCAUGCUCCAUGCAAAGAGCCCUGAGAGAAGGCCCAAAUCAGAAUUGGUCCAGACAUGAAGGCACAGAUGUUUCAGGACACCCUUGGACACACAGCCAUGGCCUCUGCUGCAACCCCGGACCCUGACCAGUGGCCAUGCUCCAUGCAAAGAGCCCUGAGAGAAGGCCCAAAUCAGAAUUGGUCCAGACAUGAAGGCACAGAUGUUUCAGGACACCCUUGGACACACAGCCAUGGCCUCUGCUGCAACCCCGGACCCUGACCAGUGGCCAUGCUCCAUGCAAAGAGCCCUGAGAGAAGGCCCAAAUCAGAAUUGGUCCAGACAUGAAGGCACAGAUGUUUCAGGACACCCUUGGACACACAGCCAUGGCCUCUGCUGCAACCCCGGACCCUGACCAGUGGCCAUGCUCCAUGCAAAGAGCCCUGAGAGAAGGCCCAAAUCAGAAUUGGUCCAGACAUGAAGGCACAGAUGUUUCAGGACACCCUUGGACACACAGCCAUGGCCUCUGCUGCAACCCCGGACCCUGACCAGUGGCCAUGCUCCAUGCAAAGAGCCCUGAGAGAAGGCCCAAAUCAGAAUUGGUCCAGACAUGAAGGCACAGAUGUUUCAGGACACCCUUGGACACACAGCCAUGGCCUCUGCUGCAACCCCGGACCCUGACCAGUGGCCAUGCUCCAUGCAAAGAGCCCUGAGAGAAGGCCCAAAUCAGAAUUGGUCCAGACAUGAAGGCACAGAUGUUUCAGGACACCCUUGGACACACAGCCAUGGCCUCUGCUGCAACCCCGGACCCUGACCAGUGGCCAUGCUCCAUGCAAAGAGCCCUGAGAGAAGGCCCAAAUCAGAAUUGGUCCAGACAUGAAGGCACAGAUGUUUCAGGACACCCUUGGACACACAGCCAUGGCCUCUGCUGCAACCCCGGACCCUGACCAGUGGCCAUGCUCCAUGCAAAGAGCCCUGAGAGAAGGCCCAAAUCAGAAUUGGUCCAGACAUGAAGGCACAGAUGUUUCAGGACACCCUUGGACACACAGCCAUGGCCUCUGCUGCAACCCCGGACCCUGACCAGUGGCCAUGCUCCAUGCAAAGAGCCCUGAGAGAAGGCCCAAAUCAGAAUUGGUCCAGACAUGAAGGCACAGAUGUUUCAGGACACCCUUGGACACACAGCCAUGGCCUCUGCUGCAACCCCGGACCCUGACCAGUGGCCAUGCUCCAUGCAAAGAGCCCUGAGAGAAGGCCCAAAUCAGAAUUGGUCCAGCACUAUGAAGGUGGCCCAGAUCCAGCUGCCUAGAGGUCCAACCAAGAGAUGAUCUGUGUUCAAGAGCACCAAAGACCUUCGGCCUUGCCUGUCCGCGGUUGUGCUCUAGCCUAAAAAAUAGGAGCUAUCACAAGAAUCCAGACCUGUGUCUGAGUGAUUGUCAUUCUGUCUGCACACAAGACCUCAGCUGGGACAUAGGACAGUGUUGAGGCAGCGGAGGCCCAGUGUGAGCCUGUCCUCUGGCACAUGACUGGCCCUCAGUGCCCUGCCCAGUCUUUUACCUAGAUUUCACGUAGGCAGAAAUGACUGUGUGCUAGAACUCCCUGGGUACAGGAGCAGGGUUCAGGUACUGCUGCUUCAGGCCUCUUAUCUCUCACUGGUGGGCAGAUGGCAGGGUUGGUGUUAGGAAACGGAGUCAUGAGUGUAAGGAAAGAUCAAGCGGAUGAAAGGGGAGAAGGAAGGCAGAUACUUCAGUGAGACAUCCAGACCAAGAAAUUCAUCUUUAGUCCUAGGUGAAGAGGCUAAGCCAUCCCAAGUGACAGGAACUGAGGAUAACAGGAGCCAAAAGGGACUUGACCUUUGCAAAAGAAAGGAAUGAGGAAGACCAGCACAAAAUUCCAGAGAGAGAGAAAUUUAAGGUAAAUUAAGGAGUUGAAUGGGUAUGCAGUAAAUACUAGUUAUACCCCAAACCAAGAAUUAAAC